CCUACGGGAGGCAGCAGUGAGGAAUAGUGGUCAAUGGACGGAAGUCUGAACCAGCCAUGCCGCGUGCAGGAUGACGGCUCUAUGAGUUGUAAACUGCUUUUGUAUGAGGGUAAACACCCCUACGUGUAGGGGCUUGAAAGGAGAAUACGAAUAAGGAACGGCUAACUCCGUGCCAGCAGCCGCGGUAAUACGGAGGAUCCAAGCGUUAUCCGGAUUUAUUGGGUUUAAAGGGUGCGUAGGCGGUUUGAUAAGGUCGAGGUGAAAUACCGGUGCUCAACACCGGAACGGCCUCUAAUACUGUUGAACUAGCGUGUAGUUGCGGUAGGCGGAAUGU
rnacentral:rRNA from 1 species